CUCUGAGAUUUGUGGCUUGUCCCUGGGACUGGGCCCACUUCUGGUUCCUGCUGGAUGAGGUCAGGAGAACAGAACAAGCCUCCACCUCAAGCCUGUACAACCAACUGUCCCAGGGGUUGGGUGUAGGUAGCACCAAGAAGAUGAGAUGCUAUAAACAAUAAGUUAGAACAGUAGCCAGAAAACCCAGGAAUGAAUGAAUGAUGUGGGGAGAUUGCAUCAAGGUGACUGAUGAACAAUAUUUGUCCUCCUGCUUCUCCCCUAAAUUCUAAAACAUACAAAAAAGGUGUUUAGGAGAAUAAAUUAAUUCCUGGCACUGCUAGGGAAAAGGGAGUUGUAACUGGCUGUAUUUUCCAAGAUGGCUAUAAGAAUAUGUUUCAUUACACAUGCUUUUCUUACAAGAGACUCUGACACUUCCCAUCCAUCACUGGGGUCUCUGUUUCUUCUCCUGGAGCCUUAGUGGAACUGUGACAUGACUGCAGCGGAAGUGAAGCCAUGGUUCAUAAAAUCUGAUUCCAUUUCUGCCUGGACUUCUGACCGUGCUUGUGAGACUCCAUGCUGUGAGAAAGCUCAAGACUCAUGGAGAUGAUGUUCCUUCUCACACCCUAGAGGAGUUGGGCCCCAGCCACCAACUCACUGCGAUCCUAUGGAAGCCUCUGAGCAAGAGCUACCUAGAUGAACCUAAUCAACUCGCAUGGCCAUGAGAGAACAAUACAAAUGACUGUUACCACAGCCACUGUAAUUUAGAAUGAUCUGCUGCUCAGCAAUAAUAAUAUAGCAAUAGCAAUAGUCAACCAGAGCACAGAUGCAAAGUGGACCAGAGGUCUAAAAACUUGGGAUCAGACUGAAGAGGAAAACAAAGCCUCAAAUUCUAGAAAUUGAGGGAACAGCUUUAGAGUGCUUCUAGUUUAUCCAGGACAGGUACAGGGGACAGACAGAGCCCCAACUCUGUCUUAGGGUGUCUCCAUUCAGAAGACCAUUCAGUGGCCCUCCUCACCAGGCAACACAUUCCUGCUUCUCACCCACAAUAGCUGCAGGAAAUGGAUAAACCACUUAACAAAGGCACCAACAGGAAAUCCCAGAGUCUAAGAUGGGCACUUCAUGAAAACAUUCUAAAUAACUGAGAAAAACCCACUACAACAUAGAGGAAGCAAUUACCAUCUGAGGUAAACUAUUUCAGAGCAUACAACAAAAUAUAAAAUAAGCCAACACAUUUUCCAAGAAGAACAGAACUUAAUACCAAAACUGGAAGACUACACAUGGUCAUGGAUGCAAAGAUUCUAAGGACUGCUGUGAAGAUCCAAUAAGAAAAUGUGUGUAAAUCACCUGGCCCAAGG
rnacentral:lncRNA from 1 species